GAUUAUGGCUCAGGAUGAACGCUGGCGGCGUGCUUAAUACAUGCAAGUCGAACGAAGCACUAUUGACCGAACCCCUCGGGGUGAAGAUGAUUGUGACUUAGUGGCGGACGGGUGAGUAACGCGUGGGGAACCUGCCUUGUGCUGGGGGAUAACAGUUAGAAAUGACUGCUAAUACCGCAUAAGCGCACGUGGCCGCAUGGUCAAGUGUGAAAAGAUUUAUCGGCAUGAGAUGGACCCGCGUCUGAUUAGGUAGUUGGCGGGGUAACGGCCCACCAAGCCCGCGAUCAGUAGCCGACUUGAGAGAGUGAUCGGCCACAUUGGGACUGAGACACGGCCCAGACUCCUACGGGAGGCAGCAGUAGGGAAUAUUGCACAAUGGGGGAAACCCUGAUGCAAGCGACGCCGCGUGAGUGAUGAAGUAUUUCGGUACGUAAAGCUCUAUCAGCAGGGAAGAUGAUGACGGUACCUGACCAAGAAGCCCCGGCUAACUACGUGCCAGCCGCAGC
rnacentral:rRNA from 1 species